rnacentral:lncRNA from 1 species
AAACAGAGAAUAUAAAUUACAUAUAAUCAAUUAUCAUCAAUAUUCAUUACAAUUUUAAAAUGUCUUGCACAAAAUCUCAAAUGUGAACCUAACAAUUUUACAAAAUCUAAUAAAAAGUUUCAAAAACAAAUUCUAAAGAUGCAAUGUUCUUCGAAUACCAACUUUUUCAACUACAUAUGGCAUUUCUCCCUUCUGCAUUCAAGCUAGCAUUGUCGUAUUACCUGCAAAACCCAAGGAAGGAGAGAAAAUCAAGAAAUGGUUAGAUAGCAACUAAAAACCAAAACUUCCAUUUUUUCUAAGUAAUUAGCAAUUCUUGCAUCAUCUUUUAUCCUCGCCAAAGCUUCAAAACCAUAUAGAUCUCACCUCAGGACGAAUGUUUAAACAGAACGAAUGCUAAAUUUUUCAAAGUAGUAAAUUUACUCUAUAUGCUAAUAAUGUUUAUUUUAUAUAUUAAUUUCAUUUUAUAGAUGCAAAUAAGUCAUCUAUAUAUAUGUAAGCAGAUUAAAACUUCCAAAUAAUCAAAGACAAAAUAUGAUCAUUCAUUACCACAUAACAUAUAUGUGGAAUUCGAUUAUUAUCAUUUCUUAUUACAAAAAUUUCAUAUUACUUAGUUUUAUUAAAUGUAGAAUAUAUUGUAUAUAUACUAUUUGACAUUGACUGAUGAGCAUUGAAGUUUACCUUUAUACAGAGAGGGCAAUAGUUUUCCUUAACAAACAAUCUUCCACAAGCAUCACAACAAGUAUACCCUAAAACCACCUGCAGUCGAAUUAAUUCAAAUCAAUGAGAAGUGGAAUACUUUAAAAGAAUCAUCUUCACAUUCAUAUCAGGAUACCAUUCCAUAGUCCGAUAUCAAGUAAUAUAGAGAAGCACUUCCUUCAUUUUUAAACAAGGUAUAGAUAGCUCAAGUACUGUUCUUGUUUGUUAUAAUAUGAAUUAAGCUAUGUGCAUCUACAACAAGAAACCAUCACUUGAAACAGCAGGAAACUCAAUCAUACACCAUCAACAAUGUAUAUUAUGUAUCAUCUCCAGGCAAAACACCUCAUAUAACCAAACCACGGAGAUAACGAAACCAAAUUUCAAAAUUUAAAUGACAAAAAUAUUGAAUCACUAACGUUAAUAGCAAAUUCAAUAGCGAGUAAUUGAAAAUCACAAGACCCCAACCUCCUCGAGUAAUCCUCCCUAAUGAUCGACGCGACAACACCUAGUUUCUGCAGCUUCACCUGAGUUAAGAUAAAGAGCAGUGGUAAAUAGUUUCUCAUAAGCAAUGCACUCACACACACACUAUAUUCCAAAUGCAACUAGUUCAAGAAACAAACAUAAUUUAAUAUGCUCUGCAUAUCUAUAACUUUGCUCAUAGUUCAUAAUAAUAUAAUUGCUGUAGUAAUUGUAAUGGAUUCGUCUUCCCACGUAGUUCACGAGUUCAUCCAUUCUAAUUAGGGAACCCUAACUAGUCAUAGAGAAUGAAAAAUUUACCUCACUCGACUAAGAACAAUAGACAGAAAAGAACAAGAGAGAGAGACAGAGAUACGUUGGUGAAGACACCAAAAACCAGUACCUCGGAUUGAAAUCGCAGAGAAAUCGCAGACUUGAGGCGGCUUGGAGAAAGGGGAGCUCGCGCCUCGGGCUUCUCAAUCGAGUAAAAUGGCUGGGUGGAUCUCACUGAGAGUCAGGCGGCGGAGCGAUGGAGUCAACGGCGGAGCGGCUCCGAGGCGCCAUGGGGUGACCGAAGGAGAUAGGAGCAGCGGCGACCACCUAGGGUUCGAGAGUUGGGGGCUGAAACAUUGAGAAACAACACCACAUGAGAAGAACAAGAGAGAGAGACAGAGAUACGUUGGUGAAGACACCAAAAACCAGUACCUCGGAUUGAAAUCGCAGAGAAAUCGCAGACUUGAGGCGGCUUGGAGAAAGGGGAGCUCGCGCCUCGGGCUUCUCAAUCGAGUAAAAUGGCUGGGUGGAUCUCACUGAGAGUCAGGCGGCGGAGCGAUGGAGUCAACGGCGGAGCGGCUCCGAGGCGCCAUGGGGUGACCGAAGGAGAUAGGAGCAGCGGCGACCACCUAGGGUUCGAGAGUUGGGGGCUGAAACAUUGAGAAGCAACACCACAUGAGAGAGGCACGAGAUGUUGCGUCGGCCGAUAAAAUGGCUGGGGAAAAAAUAUGGAGGCGGCAUAGGGAAGCUGUUGAGUCGCCCGGAGUAGGGUGGCGCA